AGAGAAUGGAGCAGGUAAAAUGCAGCCUACAUAUGUUUCCUAGCUAGCAGAACUUCGAAAGUAAUAAUUACGCAACGAGAGGUACUCAUCAGGCCGAAGAUACCUUAGUUAAAUGACGGGUUUUACAUUUGCUAAUUC